UGUUUUUGUUUUUCCUGUUUCUUUUGUUUGAAAUUUUCAAACAUUCUGUUCCAAAUUUCAAAAAAUGUUCGCGUGUUCAAAAUUUGUACACAAUUAUAAAAAUUGUUCAUGUUUAAAAAAAUGUUCAGCAAUUUCAAAAUAUGUUCUUGCUUUCAAAAUUUGUUCACUAUUUUGAACAAUGUUCAUAUUUCAAAAAUUGUUCUCAUUCUCAAAAUUUAGUUCAUGAUUUAAAAAAAAUGUGUUUGAAAAAAUGUUCAGGGAUUUCGAAAAUUUCAGAUAAUUUUUGGAAUUUCAAGAAAUGAUAUCGUUUUCAAAAUACGUUCACAAAUUGAAAAAUUGAUCGUGUUUCACAAAUUGUUUGAAGUAUCAGAAAUUGUUCGCGUUUCAAAAGAAAAAUGUUCGUGUUUUACAAAAAUGUUCGAAGCUAUAGAAAAAUGCCUUCAUUUCCUAUAUUUUUGUUCAUGUAUACUAAAAAAUAGCAUUUACAAAAUUGUUCGGGUUAUUCAAAUUGUUCUCUGUUACAAAAUUUUGUUCUGAAUUUUCAAGAAUUGUUCCUCUUUUUAAUUUUUGUUCACCAAUUCAAAAAUAUCACGUUUUCAAAAAUUGUUCUGGUUCCAAAAUUUGUUCACAAAUUCAAGAAAUGCUCCUGUAAAUUUUGUUCGCAAAUUCAAAAAAUGUUCGGCGAAUUUCGAAAAAUGUUCACAUUUAUUAACUUUUGUUCACCAAUUCAAAAAUGGGAAUUUCCAAAAAAUGUUCGGGCUUUCCAAAUUUGUUCACAUCAUCAAAAUGUUCAUGUGUUUCAAAAAUGUUCGCGCUUUCAGUUUUUUGUUCCUGUGUUUCAGAAAAUGUUUUGCAUUUUCAAGAAAUUCUUCUUGAUUUCAGAAAAAAAUAUUGUUUUCAUGUUGUUCCUUUUUUUCGAAAAAAAAGUUUUGAGAUUCCCAAAAUUGUUUCAAGUUUAUUUUAUUCCUGUGAAAUAUGAAAAUGUUUGUGUUUUGAAACAUAUUGUAUUUUUCAAAAAAGAAAAUCACGUUCAAAACUUUAAAAUAAUUUUAAAUCUGUUUCGGCUUAUAAGGCGAACUGCCAUUUUUAUGUACGAAAUCCCAGGAAUUAUGGUGCCUAUUAGCGUUGCUCACUUGCAGUAGGGUAUAUGUACGAUCCCUGCCGUUGUUGUAUGCUCUUUUAAGUAUGGCUCUUCAAUUCUAUCGUGAGAAGUUGACUGUCGCAGUGGCAAGCAUUCACGCCAUCGACCACGCAAUCGCAGGAUCAAUUCACGUUUUUGCGUUUUCUCAUCUCGGAUGGUGCCACCGGAAAUGGGCCAGCCCAGGUUAGCGGUGCCCUAUGCGAAGCGUCGGCACUUUGCCGCAGCGAGCGGCCUAUAGGAGGUCUCAAAAUAAAAGGCGCCGCCUGGGAAUCAAACCAGCGAACUAUCUCUUCGAUGUAGUACGAGGAGUAACUACCUCGCCACAUAGCGGAUCUGGUAUCUAUUAAGUGUUUACUUCUUUUAUUCCUUCUUUCUUCUUCUUUCUCCUUUUUCCUUUUUUCCCUUUUUGUUUUCUGUUUUUUAUUUUUUUGCUUCCUGGUUCGAUGCAACCUUUCAAAAUACAUGAACUUUUUCUUCAAUUUGAUGUUUUUUUUAAAUGAUGAUUUUUUUUUAAUUUGGGCACAUUUCCGAAAAUCCAUGAUCUUUUUUCAAAAUUUGAUUUUUUGUUUCAAAAUCAAUGAACUUUUUCCAAGUUUUUGUGAACAGUUUUCCCCAAAUUUAUGAACUUUUCUUCAAUUUUGAUGAUCCCUUUUUCCAAAUUAGUGAACUUUUUUUUAAACACGGUGAAUUUUUUUCAAAUUCGGUGAACUUUCUGUUAGAAACGAUGAACUUUGUUCAAAUUGAUGAACUAUUUUUCAAAAUCGAUGAACCUUUUUUCAAAAGCGAUGAACUAUUUUUAAAUUCAAUGAACUUUUUUUCAGUUUGUGAAGUUUUCUUCAAAAAUGAUGAGGUUCUUUCAAAAUAGACGAACUUUUCAAAUUCAUGAUUUUUAAAAUAAUUCAAAAAUCUAAGUGACAAAAUAGACGGUAAUUGUGCAGUAAAUAGUGGGGACACACUUGUUCAUAUAUUACUGGCGCAAUUAUUUGCCGCAAGUCCAUAAUGUCUACUCCUAAUGGAGGAGUUGGUAGUCUCGCCUUACUCCGGUUAAUUCUUCCCCACCGUUUUUUUGUCCCAUCAACAUAUUUAAACCGGAUUAACCCACAAUCUACUUAAACCGAUUUUGUCUGCCAAUAAAAUCAAUUUUCGGUCUAUUUGGUAACUUUUAUAUGGAAAAAAAUGAAUCAUGAUCAAUCUUUAAUCAAUAUCUGAGACCAAAUCUCUACUCGUCACCCGCAAACGAUUUUUACCAUCCUUUGGUUUAUCUCAGGUACCCAAAUCACGUUGGAACCAGAACUUUCCUGAAAUACAUGGCAAAUCACCAUUCGUGACUCUCGCUCCCGAUCCCCAAAACAUCCCGUCUCUCUUCCUCCCCACCCAGUUUGGCCUCGCAAACCUAGCCGCCGACGAAAGAGUUUCUUCCUCGCGUCAUAUCGCUUGACUACAUCGUCGACUGCCACCACAAGCAACCAUGCAUCCUCUACCUGACCGCCGCCUCUCCCACCACCAGCCAUGGCGAUCGCGGCACAAUCCUCCGUCCACUGCCUCUCAACCUCACGCCAACGCUCGCCCGAUCGUUGUGUGUCGCCACCUUAGCCGCCCCCGCCCCAGCCGCCGCAUCUGCCAAGGUCGGCAGACACAUCCUGCGCGUGGUCGCCAUUGACUUGCACGCGGGCGCCCUGAGGUGAUCAUCCUGUCCCGCCAGGCGCUCCUCCGCGCGCUAGCAAACCACGCAGCGCUGAGCACGCCCAGGGAUUGAGCAGGGGGGCCAGACCGCCAGACGCGCGACGCAUCCAACCCCACAUGGAGGCUGCAGCCGCUGCCCCGCCUCCAUGUGAUGAGGAGAACCCGUACAAUAUGCAUGCAUCUUGUCAAUCCCUUCUUAUAUCAUUUUAAUCUUAGCUAGGCAGUCACAUAUGAGCCAGGCCGUGGUCUUUUACAUACUUGCGCUAACUUCAAUUACUUGUAGCCUGUGGGAUCUAUGAUGCGAGGGAAACGAACAUGCCAUAAGGCACAGGUGAGUACCCUCUUUGUAUUACUAUUCUUAUUCUUGAUCCUUUUCGCAUGAGAGUAUCAUGCAUGUUUGUACUACUAAUCCACUAUUAUCUAUUUGUAGCGUGUUUGACAUUUGCUGUCCUUUUGCACACCACUUUUCUGUGUUUUUGUCCAAACUGCCAUGGAAAGUAGACCAAUAAAAGGGAAACUGGGACAAUGACAACGCACAGACGAGCUACCAGCAGGCGCACCUGAAUGCGUCCGGCAGCGAGCACCCUCCCUCAUGUCGCUGUGGCAUGCUCACUUCAUGAGCCACAAUGGCGCCGGCGUGUUUGUGGAGCCCGUUAGUGUGGAGUGUGUGCACGAGGGACAGGGUGUUCGUGGAGAUGCUAUGGGAAGCGUACGCGCGAGAUAGAGUGGAUGACCAGUGAGGGCACCUACUGUGUCCGAGUUUUUGGGAGGGUGACCGACCUCCUGGCCGAUGACUACUUCCCGGACACAAUGGGCAACGAUGAAGGGGAGGAAGUCAACCACGCUUCCGGCUAUCUUGACGACUUGAGCGUGUUCUAUCACCUGCGGCCAUUCGUGAAAAUUACCCAAGAUGUUCUCACAAAUCUGAUACAUAUGGUCAGCCGGAGGAUAUUGAGUACAAUUAUUUUUUCCGUGUGUUGAAGUAGCAUGCCAAAAAGAGCACACAAGUGCAUAAGAGGACCUGGCUUGGUAUCCAAAGAGUGAAAUUCAAUUUGAAUCUCCCAAUACUUCGGUGCUUCAAAGAGCUUGGUUGUUUGUGCUGCUCCUCCCAUUGGCUGCUGCUUUUACAAUGGUUUUUUUAGUAGCACAUCAGUAUAUACAUGUAUAUAGAUUUUGUUACAUUAUUAUAAGUUUAACACAGUAUGCUUUGUUCUUUUGAUUUGAAGCGAGAUUAAAUAAGGGAGCUAUCUUUACGUAUUUGGAGCAAAA